rnacentral:rRNA from 1 species
CCUACGGGAGGCAGCAGUGGGGAAUAUUGCACAAUGGGGGAAACCCUGAUGCAGCAACGCCGCGUGAGUGAAGCAGUAUUUCGGUAUGUAAAGCUCUAUCAGCAGGGAAGAAGAUGACGGUACCUGAGUAAGAAGCCCCGGCUAACUACGUGCCAGCAGCCGCGGGAAUCCGUAGGGGGCAAGCGUUAUCCGGAUUUACUGGGUGGAAAGGGAGCGUAGACGGUGAGACAAGUCUGAAGUGAAAGCCCGGGGCUCAACCCCGGGACUGCUUUGGAAACUGCCUGACUGGAGUACUGGAGAGGCAAGCGGAAUUCCUAGUGUAGCGGUGAAAUGCGUAGAUAUUAGGAAGAACACCAGUUGCGAAGGUGGCCUGCUGGACAGUAACUGACGUUGAGGCUCGAAAGCGUGGGGAGCAAACAGGAUUAGAUACCCGAGUAGUC